CUACGGGAGGCAGCAGUGGGGAAUAUUGCACAAUGGGCGCAAGCCUGAUGCAGCAAUGCCGCGUGUGUGAAGAAGGCCUGCGGGUUGUAAAGCACUUUUACUAGGAAAGAAAAAAUCAGGGCUAAUACCUCUGAUCUUGACGGUACCUAUUGAAUAAGCACCGGCUAACUCCGUGCCAGCAGCCGCGGUAAUACGGAGGGUCCGAGCGUUAAUCGGAAUUACUGGGCGUAAAGCGCGCGUAGGUGGUUUAUUAAGUUGGGUGUGAAAGCCCCGGGCUCAACCUGGGAACUGCAUCCAAAACUGAUUCACUAGAGUACGAAAGAGGGAGGUAGAAUUCACAGUGUAGCGGUGGAAUGCGUAGAUAUUGUGAAGAAUUCCAAUGGCGAAGGCAGCCUCCUGGUUCUGUACUGACACUGAGGUGCGAAAGCGUGGGUAGCAAACAGGAUUAGAUACCCUGGUAGUCCACGCCGUAAACGAUGUCUACUAGCCGUUGGGGAACUUGAUUCUUUAGUGGCGCAGCUAACGCAAUAAGUAGACCGCCUGGGGAGUACGGCCGCAAGGUUAAAACUCAAAU
rnacentral:rRNA from 1 species